GUGGUAAUGCCGGAUGCUCCGGUUGGAUGCAUGUCCUUCCGGGAAAGAUUCUAUCGGUAUGGGAUGGGGUCGCGUCCUAUCAGCUUGAUGGCGGGGUAACGGCCCACCAUGGCUUCGACGGGUAGCCGGCCUGAGAGGGCGACCGGCCACAUUGGGACUGAGAUACGGCCCAGACUCCUACGGGAGGCAGCAGUGGGGAAUAUUGCACAAUGGGCGCAAGCCUGAUGCAGCGACGCCGCGUGCGGGAUGGAGGCCUUCGGGUUGUAAACCGCUUUUGAUCGGGAGCAAGCCCUUCGGGGUGAGUGUACCUUUCGAAUAAGCACCGGCUAACUACGUGCCAGCAGCCGCGGUAAUACGUAGGGUGCAAGCGUUAUCCGGAAUUAUUGGGCGUAAAGGGCUCGUAGGCGGUUCGUCGCGUCCGGUGUGAAAGCCCAUCGCUUAACGGUGGGUCUGCGCCGGGUACGGGCGGGCUGGAGUGCGGUAGGGGAGACUGGAAUUCCCGGUGUAACGGUGGAAUGUGUAGAUAUCGGGAAAGAACACCA
rnacentral:rRNA from 1 species